rfam:Brachypodium distachyon strain Bd21 chromosome 3, whole genome shotgun sequence.
UGAAUACUCCCUCCGUUUCAUAAUUCUGGUCUCAAAUUUGCAAAAAAAUGAAUGUGUCUAUUCCUAAAUAAUCUCUAGAUACAUGUAAUAUUACGACAAGAAUUAUGAAACGGAGGAAGUAUCUA